rfam:Loxodonta africana unplaced genomic scaffold scaffold_6, whole genome shotgun sequence.
GACAUAAUUAAUUGUGGCUACUCAUUUUUUUUUUUUUACUCAUUAGGUAGCCAGGGGACAGAGCUUUUUCUGGAUCAUUCUCUCUGGGAGUUCCUUGAAUUCUGGGUUUAUCUUUGAAUCCUAGGUUGAGGCAUUGGAGAACAAGUUUGGUGCCAGCAGUGGCAGUAAUUCCAGCUCCAAUAGUGUAUAUUAAAGUUGCUGCAGUUAAAAAGCUCGUAGUUGGAUCUUGGUAGCGGGUGGGUGUCAGUCCCUGCCCCUUGCCUCUCGCCCCCUUGAUGUUCUUGGCUGAGUGUCCCGCAGGGCCCUAUUAAUAACAAUAUCAUUAAUAUCCCCCCACGUGUCUGUCAGUUUGUCAUACUGUGGGGGCUUCUGUGUUGCUGUGAUGCUGGAAGCUUUGCCACUGGUGUUCAGAUACCAGCAGGGUUACCCAUGGAGGAUAGGUUUCAGCUGAGCUUCCAGGCUAAGACAGACUAAGAAGAAGGACCCGGCAGUCUACUUCUGAAAAGCAUUAGCCAGUGAAAACCUUAUCAAUA